GGUAAAUUUCACUUGAAAGUACAAUGAUGUGAUAGAAUGAAAAGAAAGUACAACACUAUAAUAUACAAAUAAAAGAAAGUAUGUUUUUUUUUUUUUAAAUUGUUUUUUGAAUUGGCGAAAGGUAAGGAAAAGAUGGACUAUACUUAUGCACCUGGAAGGAAUCAUUUGUUUGUUCCGGGACCCGUGAACAUCCCGGAUCAAGUACUUCGUGCAAUGAACCGAAACAAUGAAGACUANACUUGAAAGUACAAUGAUGUGAUAGAAUGAAAAGAAAGUACAACACUAUAAUAUACAAAUAAAAGAAAGUUGUUUUUUUUUUUUUAAAUUGUUUUUUGAAUUGGCGAAAGGUAAGGAAAAGAUGGACUAUACUUAUGCACCUGGAAGGAAUCAUUUGUUUGUUCCGGGACCCGUGAACAUCCCGGAUCAAGUACUUCGUGCAAUGAACCGAAACAAUGAAGACUAUCGGUCUCCAGCAGUUCCCGCUUUGACUAAAAUUUUACUUGAAGAUGUGAAGAAGAUUUUCAAAACCACUUCGGGGACCCCUUUUCUCAUCCCAACUACAGGUAUAUUAUUUUCUUUUCUCUAGGGUUAAAUAUCAACAUAUAGUUACUUAUUGCAAUAUUUUGGGUUAGGUACGGGUGCAUGGGAAAGUGCACUUACAAACACCUUGUCUCCUGGAGACCGAAUUGUGUCAUUUGUGAUUGGACAAUUCAGUUUGCUUUGGGUGGAUCAACAGCAACGACUUGGGUUCAAUGUUGAUGUGGUGGAAAGUGAAUGGGGUGCGGGUGCUAACUUGGAAGUUUUAGCAUCAAAACUGGCUGCAGAUACUGCGCAUACUAUUAAGGCUGUCUGCAUUGUUCACAAUGAGACUGCCACCGGAGUUACAAACAACUUGGCUUCCGUAAGGAAAAUACUUGGUAAAAUCAUUUUGCUUUUUUUAGUUUUUUAUCGCAUCAUAUUCAUAUUAUUACAUCCAUCUAAACUCGCCUUCUUAAUUAUUUUGUUUUAAGCGACUUAAUAUGGUAAGUUAAGUGAAAGAGAUGUUCCCUUAUUUUCUAUCUUUUGUUAUUGGUCAACCUCUAACAUUAGUAUGGUAAAAUCCAGGAAAAUAUAAUUUACUUUGUCAGUUCCUGUUUAACAACUUUAUCGAUUUAAUCAUUUAACUGUUUUCUAUAGUAAAUAAACGAUUAUACUUUUUUACUGUCAUUGUUUUUAUUAUUGUCAUUAGGAUGAAAUAAUAUUAUCUCUAGAAACAAGUGGUUUAAAUUUUAAAAGUCCUUUUUCUUGUACUUUGUAACUUUUACUAGCUCCUUGAUAGUUGUUUUUCAAUAAAUUUGGGUGGCUGUUUAAAAUAAAAAUUACAAUUUAUAACAAUCAAUAAUAAUAAUGUUUUUUAAUUUUGAAUGGUAACGUAUAAUGGUUUAUUUACUACAUAUAAAAUAGUUAACUUCUUAAUCAUAAAAUUAUGACAGUAGGUAAUGAUUUUGUAUAUUAUACAUUUAUUUAUACUGAUACCAAAAUUUGGUAACAAGGAAAAAUAGUAAUAAUUUAGAAUAGUCAAAAAAAUAUGUAAUGAUUUAAUCACACUUGAGAAAACAGUCAACUGAUGCAAUCGACAGAUGGUAAUUAAGUACGCUGUGAUUUUUUGUAUACAUUACCGGUAUAAAAAUAAAAACGGGUUUUAAACGGUAAAAAGUGUAUGAUCACCACAGAUUAAUCGAUAAAUGGUUAAUUAAAAUACAUUGUCCUUUUCUUAAUUUUUGUGUAUUAAAAUAGUAUUUUGUUGGGUAAGUAAUAAGUUUUGUAAAUUUGGUAAUAUAUAUGUUAGAUCACUACCAGCACCCGGCCCUGUUUCUAGUUGAUGGGGUGUCAUCAAUAUGCGCUUUGGAUUUCCGCAUGGAUGAAUGGGGUGUAGAUGUGGCUUUAACCGGUUCUCAGAAAGCACUUUCCCUUCCCACCGGUAUGGGAAUCGUGUGUGCGAGCCCUAAAGCCAUCGAGGCCUCUCAAACUGCAAAAUCACUUCGAGUUUUCUUUGACUGGAAAGAUUACUUGAAAUUCUACAAAAUGGGGACUUAUUGGCCCUACACUCCUUCCAUUCAGCUUCUCUAUGGCCUAAAAGCUGCCCUUGAUCUCAUCUUUGAAGAAGGCUUGGAUAAUGUUAUUGCAAGGCACAAUCGUCUUGGCACUGCCACAAGGUAUAUAAAUUAUUUACAUUAAUAUCAACAAACUUAACUUUCUAUUUACUUUAUAGUUUAUACUACUAAUAAAUAAAUAUGUAUGUGUAAUGAAGGCUGGCUGUUGAAGCAUGGGGGUUGAAAAACUGCACCCAAAAGGAGGAAUGGUUCAGUGACACAGUCACAGCUGUGGUUGUUCCUCCAUAUAUUGAUAGCUCUGAAAUUGUUAGAAGGGGAUGGAAAAGAUACAACUUAAGCUUGGGUCUUGGCCUUAACAAAGUAGCUGGAAAAGUCUUCAGAAUAGGACAUCUUGGCCAUGUUAAUGACGUAAGCAUACAUACAUACAUACAUGCAUAUGUCUAUCGAUGUUACAAAAUUAAGAAUUAAUAAAUGAAUGUGUGUGUAGUUGCAACUGCUGGGGUGUCUUGCGGGGGUGGAGAUGGUGCUCAAGGAUGUGGGAUACCCGGUGAAGCUGGGGAGUGGAGUGGCUGCUGCUUGUGCAUAUCUACAGAACAACAUUCCCAUGAUUCCAUCAAGGAUUUGAAUUCUGUCAGUGUCACUGUCAGUGUCAAUUGUGUUUAUGUAUGUAACUACUGCAUGCUACUCCUCUUCUUCAAUGUUGAUUUGCUUCAAAUUAAUACCUUUGUAAAGAACACUUAAAUAUCCUACUUUACUUCAAUCAUCUUCAUUUGUAAAUUCUUGUUUUCUCAUUACAUCCAUGAAUAUGCCUUUGAGUUGAAAAAUUAUGUGUGACCAAAUUCAAAUCUAUAUCAACUACCAUCACCCACACAAUAUUAAAUGUGAGCUUGUUGCUUGUUAGUACAAGAGGUUUUGACAAUUGACCCACUAUGGAAGUGAGACUUGAGAGUUGAGAGCCUACUCAUAUAGAAAAUCGAUGGGCUUAGUUAGAAAAGCUCUUUGCUAUUAUCAAUAUAAAUCUAUUGGUUUGCAAAAUUAGGGCGAUUAGUAAACGAUUAUAGUGGGAUGAUCAUAAUUAAGAACAACAUGACACCUUACUAUUUGGACUGAAAGUGUUGUGAAUCUCAUGAUUAAUUGGGUCUCAUGAUUAACAUGGUCGAUGCAUUACAACCAAAUCCCCUCAAGAAUCCUAGUGCCAACCUAUUUAAGUGGAGUCUUUCCUCACUUUAAGGGGGUUGAGAGGCAUUGAUAUUCAUACUUUAAGGUUUAGCAAUCCAUUCUUUGCACUUUAUUGGUUGGAUGUUGAUUCUUGCAUGUGUCUAUUAGAUGGAAGCUACUUUGGUUCCUAUACCAUACAUGGAGUUCAACACUACAUCAUCCAAAGUACACCUCAAUCUAAGUUUUACUAUAAAACACAAUAUGGUAGUGAUUGUUGCUUAAAUACUCUCAAGGAUUAUUGAUAAGAACACUUUUGAGGACAUAAUCAAAUGUAGCUUAAUGCUUGCAAUUAAUCGAAAGAAAGCCUGAAAUUCGAGACUCAAGAGGAUCUCCAAAAACGAAAAUAAGGUUCUAAAUCUUCUACCACCGAGAGGUCGGCUCCCUCUCUACUUAGUCUAACGCUAGCUGAAAAUUAGGAAGCAAAUACUUCAAAUGAAAGCAUAAUCCAAAAAGAUACAUAUCAAAAUUAACUAAUGAUGUUUUUUUUAGCAAAAUAACUAAUCGCCCCUUUGCAAUUUCUUUCCACGCCUCUGAUAAGCUUUGGCGACCCAGCCCAUUCAUAUCAACCCCCCCUCUUUAUGAAAAAUCACCUGGAAAUCGGUGUUGAGUAUCCUCACGUUCCUCUCAUGUAGUUCAAAUGGAAGCUCGAUAAGCACUUGUUGUCACUAACCACGUUGGUGUCAAGAAAGAAAGGCACGAAUACUAAGGUGCUGUUUGGUUUUUUUUUUUUUUUUUUUUUUUUUUUUUUUUUUUAAAAAAAAACCUCUUCAGAUUUUUUAUUGCUACUGGACGCAACACACACCAAACACUUUUAAUCUCGUAGUUGUUUGUUUUUUAGAAGUCUUCAGAGUAAAAAAUCUCAGUGCGUGUUCUGUUUGGCGCAUCACUUGUAUUGCCUCUUUCAACCACUUUUUUUAUUUUUUAUUUUUUUUUUGCUGAAAUCUUUAUUAUAUGUUGCUGAAAUAUUCUUUUACAUUUUUUUUUCGUUUUUUUAUAUUAAAUAAUAAUAAUUUCUUGAUGAACAUUAUUAUUUUUUUUGCUAAAAUAUCUUUAUUUUUUUGUUGAAAUAUCAUUAUUUUGUUGAAAUAUCAUAAAUUAUUGCUAAAAUGUCAUACAUUAUUAAAUUUUCGGUAUUAACAAAACUAUUUUCGAUUUAUAAAAUCAAUUUAUUUUAAUUUUUAAUAUCUGCAGCAGCAUGUAGAUAUUAAAAAAACAAACACGUUUCUUAUUAUAAUAUGCAGCCGUUUGGUCCACCUCUUCUACUGUAGAGGGUAGCGGAGGUGGUCCACAGACUUCAUGAAUUUUUUAUUAAAAAAACAAACAACACCUAAAUAAGUUUUGGAAGGAUUUUAUUUUAUUUUAUUAAUUGGUCUUUAUGUGGCCAAUAUGCUAAUGCCAGUUUUAUAUGUUUACUAUACUAUGAACGUGUUCGACAAAAAUAGCUGGUAGCGUGUAACGAGUAGCGUUUGAUUUUGGAGAGUUUUGUUCAAAGCUUCUCCAUGUAGCUUUUGAUUUUGGAACAUUUUGUUUAAAGUAAAAACUAAACGCUCCUGUUGUUGCCGAACGAAGUUUGUUUUUUUGUUUAUUUUUUUUAUACAAGUGUUUUCUUAAAAACUAGAAGCCAGAAGCUCCUAAAUGCCACGUGCCGAACACGCCCAAGUAUUUCUUGAAGCCUAUGUUUGAAGGAGAGAUUUUUUUGAUAAAACUAUAAAAGUAAUAUUUGUUUGAGUAGAGUCGCUCUAUAUCAAAAUUGUCUCGUUGAUUGUCUUUUCUUUCCCGUUUGUAGUGUGUUUUUCAUUGUAGUUGCAUCACACCUUCUUGAGCUACGACACAUGGAAAACUGGGUGAAUGGAAGCGAUGGACGACAAUAAACUGAGUGGGCCAGGUUGGAAAACCUGGCGAGUACAUAGGGAUUUCAAUCCCACAAUGUGAUAAUAAUGUAUAUCUCAAACCUGCAAUCCAACUAUUAUCAUUAACCCAUAUAUCAUAUCUUUUAAAACAAUUUAUCCUAUCUCGUCGAUUCCCUCGUAUAAAUCCUAUACAACAAUCUUACAAGAUCUAUCCUAAAGGAUCAAUAUGAACAACAAUCUGACGACGCUGUUUUGGAAAUUCCCUGACAGCAAACGAGGAUCAAUAAGUACAUCAAAUGAGGGGAAUGGAAUAAGUUUCACCAUGAACCUCCGUUCGUAAAAACAACAAGACAAUUAAGUCAGGGGUGGUUAUCUAGAUUACUGUGCCUAGCAAUGGUAUGAGAUCAUGAGCUAUUUUACCCCAAAACUCACCCUAUCCAGCAAUACAACAUCAUAUAUACCUAGUAGUGGUCUAUUGCUGACACACUAUAUUAGGCAGUCUACGAAGUUCCCUCAAUUACUUCAUGAAAGGAAACUCUGACACAUGAAGCUCGUCUGAUCACUUCAUAAAAGAAACGAUGACUCCAAAGCUCUUCAAAAUAAAAAGUAUGGGUAAAUACUAAUAAAGUACUCCCGUACGCUCCCAUACCCAGACACACAAUAGUGUCAAAAAAGGACUUUGUACAUGAUAGUACUUCUGGCAUAUUAUAGUACCCUAUUAUGAGUAGGACUCGUACCCUAGAACAUAAUAAUACCCCAACACAAGCAGCACCUAAAACACAGAGUUUUGUAAAAAGAAUUGGUACAUAGAAAGUACUUUUGUACGUAGGACAUACUCCAUCGAUCAUCAAUCUCCUCGAACAGAGUUUAUACUCUCUAUUCCGAUCACACACAUACCGUUAAUAAGAUACUACCCAAUAUCCAAACUUAAUUGAACUAAGCAUCUCUUUUAAGUCUUAUUUCAUCACUAAGCAAGCCUACAAUGCUUAUAAUCAACUUUCAAUACUAACUCUGUUUCGGAAACACUAUCUAAAUUUAGUCUACUAUUUUAUACAGAGUAUUAAGUAUUAACAUACAUUUAUCUUCUCAUUUAUAAUACUUCUAUUAUUAGUAUCUUGUAAAUACAUCUCAACACAUAUAGAACCAUGCCUGGUUCGUAUAGCGUAUAUCAUCAAAUAUACAUAUAACACAAAUUUCCAGAUAAUAAUCAUAUAACUCACAUAUAAAAUUUCAACAUAUAUUUAAUACUUUUAUUAAUACUUGUAUUAAAAUCAUGUUCAUGAAAGGGACUAUGCACUCACUUGUUAAAUUGAUGACUCGAAAUUCAGACAACGAUUCGCUUCUAGCAAUUGCCUUUUUCUGUUGACGAAACCUAGUAUUAUUAUCACUAAGUUUUAGUCUAAGAUUGCGACUAAUUAGUAGUCUAGAUUCAUCAUUAACUCAAAGUAUACUUUCAUGAUCUAUCAAUUAAGGAACAACCAGGUAGGAUCAUAUCAGAGGUAGGGUCCAUUUGGUAUACGAAGUAUACUGUUUGGAAAUCCCACUUUAAACACCUUACUAAAUCACAACCUAGACAUCAUCCAUGUAAGUAGAUCAAUCAAUAUAACGACUUGGAAUCACUUAUAAAUCUUGUUUAUAGUUUCAUAAUAAUGAUAAUGAACUUAAACAUAAGUUAUACUUAAAGUAUGGUAGCCAUAACUCACUUACAAGGGGGUUUAGCAAAGAACUGGGCUUUGCGCGGACAGAACUUCUGAGGCGAAAGAUCUUCUUCUCAGGGCCUUCUGGCGCUCCGGGACUCGCUUCUAGAACCUAGUAGGUUAUAGGGAAAAAUUUGGAAGGGUUGGGGUGUUUGGGAGAGAAGGUUUGAGAAAGUGUGAAGAAAAAUGAGUGAUCCGCGCCUCUAUUAAUAGGCUGGGAAAUUGGGUUACGUGGGACGUAACUGAGAUGUACGUUGGGCGUAAUCGAUAUACAGGGGGUACCAAGCCCUACGCUGGGCGUACCGGCUCCAUGUAUAAGCAUCACAUGCGAAACCAUGGGGAGGAAGGUGUGACUGAGAUGGUGCCACGUGUCACCUUCGGAACUUAACCCCAAAAUUAAUUAUCUUCCAAAUUCUAUAACUUUCACAUACGAGCUCAAUUUUUGACAUUAUUUAUUUCCACGCGUAGGUAGCGAAGUGAUCUACAACUUUCGUUUAGACUCCAUUGGCUAAUUUUGACUUUAUUUUUAAAGUUAUAUUUUAACAGACUUAAACAGUUAAAGUCCGUUAAAAAUUCAUAACUUUGUCAUUCGACGUCCGUUUUCGAAUUUCUUUAUAUCGUUGAGCUCCUAUUAACGAGAUAUUCAAUUAUCAUUUAGGUUGUGUCGGCUAAUAAUCGAUCGAUCUGAAAUUCGAUUUUCGGGCUGUGAACUGCUUUGCUAAAUCUUAGAAAAAUCAUAACUUCCUCAAACAAAGUCAGAUUUGGAUGUUCUCUAUAUGCACACUCUCAGUUUAACAUAUACUAUGACUUUCGUUUAGAUCGCUAGGGCUAAAAAGUAUUUUUUCAAAAAUUUUCUUUUUACGAUACUCCGCGUCGUGCUGGUUUUGUCGCAAAACUUCGACGGGUCAUAACUUCUUCGUUUUAAGUCGGAUUUCAGCGUUCUUUAUAUGUAUGAAAUCCUUGUGACAUAUACUAUAACUUUGGUUCAGAUUAAUUACUCUAAAUAAUCUUCUAUCGAAAACUCAUUUAUAACGCUUAUUGUCUCUAAAUUGACUAGCCCGAAUCUGCAGGCGUUACAAAAAUAAACUCACAAAACACUGUCUCUAUCUGACACAUGAAAUGUUAUGUAAGCAAAGUACUUCCAGGAUAAUGAUCACAAAUAUAGACAAAACCAUGAAAUGGUGAUUAAGGGGUAUAAAAUGGGCUGAUUUGCUCAAGCGAUCCACGAACACAAAAAUUACACUAUACUUCACCGAUUUUUGUAACCCUUCAAUAAAAUCCAUACACAGAUCUUCCCAAAUCUAUUCUGGUAAUGCUAACGGUUGCAACAGACCCACCGACACCAAGUUUGAGUACUUGUUGCAUUGGCACACUGCACAUUCCAAGAUGAAUUUGGCCACAUCCUUCUGUAUUCCGACCUUAAAGAAUGCUUUCACGAGACGUUGAUAUGUUAUUUGCAUGCCAUCGUACCCCCCGGUCACCCCCAUUGGAAUUAUUGAAAUAAACGUACCACCUAUUUAGAUGUAUGCGAAAGUACUAAGUGAACCUUGUAGCGCACAUGCCCUCUUAGAAAUGACAUAGCCGACCAUAUAUUUGCUAGGGGUUUCUAUUUUUUUUGGAUAGUGGCCAAUUUUGGUUCGUUAAGAAAGUUGGAUAGAAGUUUACUCCCGUGGCUAAUCUCGGACAACGUGAGUUCCGCCAUGGAUACCCCCACCCCGUGCCUGGAUAACACGUGGCUACCCUGUUUUCUUUUCCCAAACGAUAUAUAAUCUUGAAUUCAAAUCUGGACAACUUUGAAAGGCACCAUUUAUGCUCGCCGAAUAUUGAUCGUUGCUCCAACAAAUACUUUAAGUUCUAUUGGUUGGUGGUAACCUUGAACCGACACCCAAGCAAAUAAGUCCGCCACUUUUGAACCGUUAUCACUAUUUUCAUCAACACUCGCUUAUGAACUGAAUUGAGUUGGGUGUGGGUUCCAAAGACCCGACUAAACCAAGCCACAAGUCUGUUUUAUUGCAUACGAGUUGGUCCUACACCAUAACCCGAGGCAUCCGUCCCGAUCGUGAAUGCUUUAGCAAAAUCUGGUAAAUUUAACACUGUUACCAACAUCAUUGCUUAUUGUGACUACCGAAAAGCUGGUGAUGCUUCGUCAUUCCAACUAAAUUUGUCUUUCUUGAGUAAGAUAGUCAACGGUUUGACGAUCCUUCCAUAACCUUACACAAAAUUUUGAUAAUAACCUAUUAGUUCUAAAAACCCACUCAACUUACCUAUUGUCUUGGGCAUAAGCCAUUCCAACAUAGUUAAAAUCUUGCUUGGUUCAGCUGCCAAUCCCUGCUUGUCACCACAUGCCAUAAAUAGUCAACUCGAUUGGAUCAGCUGCUAAUCCCUGCUAAUCCCCACAUGUCACAAAUAGUCAACCCGAUUUCGACCGAAUACACAUUUUUUCUAUUACAGAAUAGGCUCUCGGCCCUAAGACUUUCGAACACCAUCCUUAUGUGUUGCUGAUAAUCUUCCAUGGUUCUGUUGUAUACAAGAAUAUCGUCAAAGAAAACAAGCAGUAAUUUUCUGAGGUAAGGAAGAAAAAACUUAUUCAUGAAAGAUUGAAAUGUCAAAGGAAAUUGUAAUGCCCUUCAUGCGUUCGAAAUUCCUUCUUUGAUGUCUUCUUGUUUCAUGCGAAUGUGAUGGUACCCCGACUUGAGAUCCAACUUGCUAAAAAUCAUUGCUCCAUGUAGCUUGUCGAGCAACUCAUAAAUAAUGGGUCUAGGAUCAUGGAUUUGUUUAAGGAACGGUAAUCCAUGUAGAAAUGCCAACUCCUAUUUUUUUUACUAGUAGAGCCAUACUAGAGAAUGGGUUUGAGCUCAACCGAAUAACCCCCACGGUAAGUAUUUCUUCCAACAAACGCUCGAUUUUUUAUUUUGCAAUUGUAGGUAGCGCUACGGUCAGGUGUUGACAGGUUCGGUGCCCAUUUUCAAUGUAAUGGCAUGUUCGUGACCCUAAGGUGGCGGUAGCUCUGCUGGUAGCUGAAACACGUCAGUAAAUUCUAUCAUUAUUUCGUUAACUGUAGGGUGAACUUGAGAAUCGGUUUGAUCAAUGAAUUCUAGUUGGAGUACUGCUAUCAAAAAACCUUAACUACCCUGAGAUAAACCCAAAGUUCUAAAUAAAGAGAGUCGUGAGCUUGGUGGUGGGCUUGGUGGCAAGGUCAAAGUUAAGUCAUGGCAAGCCAUGACGUUUUUCAAGGCAUGAUUAUUUUAUAUACAUUAAAAAAGAUUAAUUAUAUAAUUAUUGAAUUUUAUCAAAUAUAUCAAGUUUUUAGAAGUGUUAUAUUAAUAUUUAAUAUAAAAAAGGUAACAAAAACUCAAUUAUUUUAGCCUCUAUCAGGAAAAACAAAAAAAUAAAAACCCAAAAAAAAAAAAACAUGCCCACCUUGAAAAGAAUGCGUGCCAUAACACGAUAAGGUACACCUUGACACGUUAUUUGGAUGCCACGAUAAACAAAACCGCCUUGGACAUUUUUGUAAUGACUACACCAUGCCUCGCGCCAUGGCACACCUUGAGGUCCACCAUGGCGCACUUUUUAGAGCCAUAGAUAAACCCCUUACCAAUGUCUGUAAGGACGUUUCUGACCGGUUCAAACCUGGUUUCCCUUGUAAAGUCACCUUGCGCCCCUUGUCCAUGAAUGUCACUGUUAAAUCACACUAGUUAACCCGAGUCUCUCUGAGGGUGCGAAGCCAUUUGAUACCCAAUAUAACAUCAAUACUACCCAAGUCUAGUGGAUAAAAACUGUGCACCAGUCGAAACCCAUGUAAGGUUAAUGUCACGCUCUUGAAACUUCCAACACUCUUGUCAAACCCUCUAUUACCCAAGAUAACACCAUUUUCUUGUGUCCCAUUUCCCAUUUAUGGUAAGCUCUAGCGGUUCAACCAACCGCAAUGAUACAAAAUUAUGUGUGGUACCGCUGUCAGUGAGCACAAUCACUUUGUGUUCACCGAUGAAUCCUCGUAAUUUCAUGGUAUGAGGUGUGGUGAACUUUUAUUAUCUUGAAGAUUUUCAAGGGAACGAUCCCGAUCAGUUUAUUAUUUUGAAGAUUUUCGUGAUUAUUGAAGAAAUUUUCAACUUUUGCAUCUGGAAUUUUUCCGGUUAGUUUUUACUGUUUUGUUGGUGAUGUUGCUUCCAAAAAUAAAGAUUUUGGUGUUAUUGUUUAUACAUUUGCUACUUUUUAUCUAAGUUCUUGAAGACAUUAUAUAUANNNNNNNNNNNNNNNNNNNNNNNNNNUAUAUAUAUAUAUAUAUAAUGAAGAAUAUGAAGUUAUUGUUGAAAAUAGAUUGUUUGAUAUGUUUAUCCCUUGGAAAAAGUUGUUUUGAAAAAGAAAUAAACCUAGUUUUAGGAUAUAGGAUUUAACAUUUUUACUAAGUUUAGAUGUUAAAGCUUUUUAUGGAGUGCAUAAGUUCUUAUAACUGAUGUGCAAAGCUUAGAAGCUAUCAUACGUUGAAUAAAGGAAAUUUAUGAAUGAGUAACAAUCGACAUUGUGCAUUAAUUGUCGUACAACGUAAGGAAUAAAUGCUAACACUCAUGCUUAGGGGUGUCAAAAAAACUCGAACCCGAUUAACUCGACCCGACCCUAACCCGAUUAAGGUAUUUAGGGUCGGGUUUUAUAGGGUCAAAAUUCUUAAUCGGGUUAUUCGGGUUAACCCGACAAACCCGAACUAUAGUUAGGGUCGGGUUUAGGGUUGAUUUUUUUUAUAAAAGUCGGGUUUCGGGUUAACCCGAUUAACCCGAAUAAAAAUACACUACAAUAUUUAUGUAUUUUAUUCCACCUCACAUCUUUUAUUUUUGUACAUUAUGUGGCCUAAAAAAGAGGAAAAUAAGAUGCAACACAAUUGUAGAACAAAAUAUUGAUUUGUACAAAUGGAAAUUAAUAUGUAGCAUAGUAAAAUAAUAUGCAAUGGUAGUUUAUCGUGGCCUAAAAUAAAAAAUACACAGUCACAAAUCAAAUGAAUAAUGCUUUUUAAUUGUAUAGUAUAAACAAGAAAAAUAAACCAUAUACACUCAUAGUCAUUUGGAUUUAACACAUCCUAAUUUAACCUUCUGAAAAUAAACAUUAUUAUAAAUAUGACACAAUAUUUUUGUCUUACAUUGUAACCCGAUUAACCCGACUAACUCGACCCUAUAAACCCGAAACCCGAAUAACCCGUACCUUAAUAGGGACGGGUUCUGGGUGAAAUUAUUUUUAUAAAAAACCCGACUAACCCGACCCGUUUAACCCGAAACCCAAUCGGGUUGACCCGAUUAACAGCCCUACUCAUGCCUACAUUUUUUUACCAGGUCACACCUCAACUUUUACUAGCUAUGAUUUUUACAUGCUUUUUCAGGAAAUAAUUAGUAAGUGGAUAUAAAGAUUCAUCAUCAUAGAACAUGCUGCAUCGUGUUGAAACUAUUAUGAAAUUAUAUUUUGAACAAUGUUGUUUUGGAAAAACUUGUACUUUGUUUCUUUUUAAGCUAUGGGUUGUGAGUUUGUGUACAUGCAACAUUUGUUUUUUAUCAAUUGGUGAUACCCACUUGGUUUCUCAACCAAAAGUAAAAAAACACCUUAUUACCCAACCAAGGCAGUUGCUUUUGACAUAACUCUUUUUUAUUUUGAUUAUUUUUUAUGUUUUUUUUUAUAUUCCAAUUACAGAUCCACACCCAUUCGAACAACUUUUUUUUAAGCUAAUUUUUUGUCUUUCUCGGAUUACCUACAAACCUCAUCCGACCAUCAUUUAUUUAUAUAGAUCAGACUCAAUCUCGGAUCCACAAGAUCCUACCCAUUCUGCUUGGAUUCUUUUUGCUCAUAUUCAUUGUACGAGAAAAAUCCAUUCAAAUUUUUUGGUUUUCUAUUUCGGAUCAAACUAUCCGAACCGACCCACUUCAUUUUGGAUUCACUUCUCUUUAUUGGAUUCACUUUUGCUAAUUUUGAAUGACACAUUUUUUUGUCCCAACAUUUUUUUAAAACCAAUUAAUUUCUUUCUUUUUAUUUUACCCAAUUAUUUCAUUAGAAACAAUUUUUCCUUUUAGCCCCAACCCAAUACCUUUUAGUCUCUAAUGCUCCAUCUGAGGUUAUCAUUAGACCAAAUUUUUUACAAACAAUUUUGUGUUAUGAAUUAUUAUUUAGUGAAUGACUAUUGGAUUCUCCAUAUUCCCCCAUUACUCUCCAUAAUUAGUGAACAUUAUAGCAAACAUUAUUAUGUGUUUUAUGAGUGUAGUUAUGCACCACUAUAAUGAGCAUUCAUAUCAUACAUCACCUUUCAUCUUCUUUGUCUAGUAUAAAUAGUGAAUAUUAUGUAUUAUAAAGUUUGAUGAUUUCAUCACAAGUAUUAGAAUAAAAGCUCUCUCUACUCUCAUGUCUUUCUUUACUCUAUAACUUAUCUUGUUAUUUGAUCAUAUUUUAUAACACGUUAUCAGCACGACUCUACCAUAGAGCUCUAACUCUUUAUCGCUCUCAUUAUUUUCAGGUAUGUAUUUUUUUAUAAGUUUACAUGUACAAUGCUUACAAAUUAUUUUCUGAAAUUUAUUAACUAACAAUUCUUGAGCAUACAAGUCUUUAUUUUGAUUAGUAUUUUCACUAUGAAAAACUAUGUUAUGCUAGAGAAAAUUUUCUCUACUUUCCAUGCCACCAACAUGCUCCUGCAGCAGCAAUAUCGUGAGAAAGAUUUAAAAAGAAUAUAUUAUGAAUUAAUCUCAUUUCUUCUUGUGGCUGAAUAAAACUAUGAACUAUUGAUGAAAAAUCAUCAACCAAUCCCAACCGGUUCUAGUGCAUUCCCUGAAGUGAAUGCAAUAUCAUAUAAUCAUAAUAGUCAUGGGUAUAAUCGAGGUCGUGGAGGUUAUUAUCAUAAAAAAUAACAAGAUUACAAGCAACCACCAGAAGUUGGAAAAUAGCAAAAAUCCACAUCCUAAUGAUAGACUAGGUUAAGGAAAAAAAAAAUUGAAAAUGUUUGUCAUUGAUGUGGAACGACCAUUCAUUGGUCUUGUACAUGCUGCUUACCAAAGCAUUUUGUUGAUCUUUAUCAAACUUCUCUAAAAUCUAAAGAAAAAUAAUAUAUCAAAUUUUUUUUAUUCAAAGUGAUAUUCAUGAAGAUCAACCUGAAAUGACACAUUUGGAUGUUGCCGAUUUUCUUGUCUACCCAGAAGGGACAAGUGGUGAUAUGGAUGGUGAUUGAAGAAUAUUGUGUAGUUUUGUUUCAUGACAUUUAUUAUGUUUUUAUGUCAUAUGUCGAAUGUUUCUUAUGUUUUAUUUAUUUAUUGAAAAGAAAUAUGAAUAUUCGCAAAAGAAAUAAGGAAGAUAUAUUUCUUGCAGACAAUGCAAUAACAUUCUGCUUACUUAUCAAUUAGAGAAGCAAAUGUUAAUAUAAUAACAGGUAAUACAAAAAUGAUUAAAAGCUCCAGAAGAGCAAAUAUAGUAUUACCAUAAGUGACAAUAAUUACAAUUGGUGAUGCAUUAUUUUUAUUAAAAUCACCAAGAAAAUUAUUAAGUUUUAAGGAUAAUCGGUCUAACAGAUAUCCUAUUGAAACAACUAAUGAUGGUAAUAAAAAUUAUCUCAAUAUUACAAAAAUGAUAUCGGAUAAGAAAAGUUUUUUGGAAAAAUUACAUGUAUUGUCCUCCGGAUUGUACUAUACAAAUAUUACAAUGAUUCAUGCUAUUGAAAAUAUUACAAUGAUUCAUGUUAUUGAAAAUAAAAACGGUAUGAUAUUACCUUCAUAGUUUGGCAUGACCGGUUGGGCCAUCCCGGAUCAAUUAUGGUAUAUAGAAUAAAUAAAACUUCAAGUGGUCAUUCCUUGAAAAACCAGAAGAUUUUUCAAGAUAAUGAAUUGUGUUGCAUGCUCUUAAGGAAAAUUAAUUUCCAGUCCAUCAUUGAACAAAGUUGGUUAUGAAAGUCUUAGUUUCUUACAAAGAAUUCAAGAGGAUAUAUAUGGACUAAUUCAUCCAACACUAUGUGGACCAUUUAGAUAUUUUAUGGUUUUAAUUGAUGAGUCAACUAGAUGGUCACAUGUGUGCUUGUUGUCUAGCUGUAAUUUGGUUUUUGCAAUAUUACUUGCAUAAAUAAUCAGCCCAAGGGCACAUUUCCACGAACCCAAUUAAGAUAAUUCGACUUGACAAUGUUGCAAAAUUUUCAUUGCAUGCUAUUAACGAUUAUUGCAUGUCAAUUGGAUUGAACAUCCUGUUACACACGUUCGUACACAAAAUGGUCUAAUUGAUUAAUUAAUCAAACACCAUUAAUUAAUUACAAGACCAUUACUAAUGCAUUAUAAACUUUCUAAUCAACAUAAGGGCAUGCAAUUUUACAUGCAACAUCACUUAUAUGCAUAAUGCCAAUUAGUUAUCAUGAGUUCUCCCCUAUUCAACUGGUUUGCGGUCAGGAACCAAAUAUUUACCAUCCAAGGAUGUUUGGAUGUACAAUUUAUGUACCCAUUUCUCCACCUCACUUCACAAAAAUGGGUCCUCGAGAAGAAUGAGAAUUUAUGUUGGUUAUGAAUCUCCAUCUAUAGUAAAAUAUUUAAAAUCAUCAACUAAAGAUUUAUUUACAGCUAUAUUUGAUGAUUAAUAUUUUGAUGAAUCAUAUUUUCCAACAUUAGGGGGAGAAAUAAAGAAGCUGGAAAAUAAAAUUUCUUGAAAGGAAUUAUCACUUUCAGUUUUAGAUCCUCGUUCAAGUCAAUGUGAACUUGAAAUAAAAAAGAUAAUUCCUUUACAAAAUGUAGCAAAUCAAUUGCCAGAAGCAUUUACUGACCCUAAGUGAGUAACAAAGUCUCAUGUACCAGUUAUACAUACUCCAGUUAGAAUUUAUAUCCUACAAGAAAAAAAAUACAACUACAAAUGAAUCUUAGGCACGCCUGAAGCAUGGAAGAUCAGUCGGUUCCAAAGAUAAAAAUCCUCGAAAAUGAAAUGGAGCAAAUACAAUUGAUGGUCCAAAAGAGAAAACAAAAUCUCUUGAAAAGAUUAAUGAAGCUCUAGAAGAGCCCAAUGACAUAACAAAAGAAUAUAAGGUACCUGGAAAAAAUGAAAAUGAUGAGAUCUCAAUAAAUUAUGUCAUCACAGAAAUAAGAUGGUACCAACAUAAGACAGAAGUCGACGAUAAUUUUUCAUAUUAUGUUCCGCGCGCGAUUAUAAAGAAAAUGAUGAUCUUGAACCUAAAUCUAUUGAGAAAUGUAUGAAUAGAAAAUAUUGGCCAAAAUGGAAAGAUGAAAUAAAUAAAGAGCUUAAUUGUCUUACCCAAUGAAAAGUUUUUGGGCCUGUAGUCUAUACACCAANUAGUGGGACACGAAUGAGUAUUUGUGGGCAAAAGAAACGAGAAAAAAUGAAGUUGUGAGAUAUAAAGCAAUACUUGUUGCACAAGGUUUUACCCAAAGGCCCGAAAUUGAUUAUGAAGAAACGUAUUCUCCUGUAGUUGAUGCAAUUACAUUCAGUUAUUUUAUAAGUUUAACAACAUAUGCAAAACUGAAGAUGUGUCUAAUGGAUGUAUUUUACCACUUAUUUAUAUGGUUCACUUGAAAAUGAUAUUUAUAUGAAAAUCCCAGAAGUGUUUAAGGUGCUAGAAGCACAAACUUCUCAUUCUCGUGAAGUAUAUUUGAUGAAAUUAAAUAAAUCUUUGUAUAGAUUGAAACAAUUUGGCCGUAUGUGCUUCAAUUGUUUUAGUACAUUUCGGUUGAAAAAGUGCUAUAAAAAUGAUCCAUUAAGCCCAUGUGUAUUCAUAAAAAGAUGCAGAUAAGAGUUUAUCAUAAUUGAUGCUAUUGUAGAUGAUUUGAACAUAAUUGGAACUCCUAGAGAAUUGGAAAAGGUCACUUCCUGUUUGAAAGAAAUUUUUGAAAUGAAUGAUCUUGGUAAGAUGAAAUUCUAUUUGGGUCUUCAAAUUAAGCACACAAAAAAUGGAGUUUUUGUACAUUAAUAUCUAGAAAAGGUGCUAAAAAUGUUUUAUAUGAAUAACUCACAUCCAUGAGUAACCCGAAGGUGGUAAGGCACUUAGAUGCCAAAAAGGAUCAAUUUCAGCAUCAUAAAAAACAUGAAAAUCUUCUUGUUCCAGAAGAACUAUAUCUUAGUGCUAUUGGUGCACUAAUAUAUCUUACUAUUAAUACAAGACCUGAUAAAUAUUUUGUCGUAAACUUAUUAGCAAGAUAUAGUUGUUGUCCAACAAGAAGAUACUGUAAUAAAGUCAAACACAUUCUUUGAUAUCUUUGAGGUACAAUGGAUAUGAAUUUAUACUAAUCAAAUUCUUAAAAUGCAAAGUUAAUUAGUUAUGUAUAUGCUAGAUAUUUAUCUGAUCCACACAAAAAAGUUAUUUAUUCACUUGUGGAGGUAACGUAAAUUCUUGUCAUUUUGUUAAACAAACUUUAGUUGCUGCUUAUUCUAACCAUGCGGAGAUUAUAGCAAUUUAUAAGAUAAUACAACUUGUAUAGCUCCAUUCAAGGAAGGAUUUAUAAAAGGAGACAGAACCAAGCAUAUAUCACCAAAGUUUUUUUCACUCAUGAUCUUCAAAAAGAGUGUGGCAUCAACAUCUAGAAAAUUCAAUCCUGUAACAACUUUCCUGAUUGGUUUACUAAAACACAUCCUACAUCGAAAUUGAAAAGAUGGUACGAAACAUUGUUAUGUGGUGCUUCAAGAGAAUCAAGUGAUGUGCUAAUCUGGGGGAGUUGGAAACAUAUUGUACUCUUUUCCUUAGCUAUGUUUUUCCCACUGGGUUUUCUUUGCAAGGUUUUUAACGAGGCAAUUGUUUCCAAUAUCUAUUAUUAAUCAUGUACUCUUUUUCCUUAAUAAAGGGUUUUUCCCAUGAGGUUUUACCGAUUAAGGUUUUAACGAGGCAUGAUACAAUCGUCAUUCAAGGGGGAGUGUUAUGAAUUAUUAUUUAGUGAAUGACUAUUGGAUUCUCCAUAUUCCCCCAUUACUCUCCAUAAUUAGUGAACAUUAUAGCAAACAUUAUUAUGUAUUUUAUGAGUGUAGUUAUGCACCACUAUAAUGAGCAUUCAUAUCAUACAUCACCUUUCAUCUUCUUUGUCUAGUAUAAAUAGUGAAUAUUAUGUAUUGUAAAGUUUGAUGAUUUCAUCACAAGUAUUAGAAUAAAAGCUCUCUCUACUCUCAUGUCUUUCUUUACUCUAUAACUUAUCUUGUUAUUUGAUCAUAUUUUAUAACAUUUUGUCUAUUAAAACCAUUUAUCCCUUCUUAUUUAAAACCAAUUAUUUUUUUAACACAAAUUUUAUCUCCAAGACUUUAUUCUUCUUGCCGAUUUCAAGUGAAGACACAAGUGUUUUAGAGAUUAUCAUUUUUUGUGUUCUUCCUUCUACCGAGCAACCCGUAUCUGCAACCACCGACUUAUGUUCUUCGAAUAUUCAGAUCCAUAUAUUUAAUCGGAAACUUUUUUGAUCAACAAUGUUCUUCAAAUAUUUUGAUCUUUUUAAGGUUUGCAUUUUAUUUCCUUUAGAAUGGUUAAAUAAGGUAUUUGACCACCUUCAGACCAAAAAAUUUUCGGAUCAGAGAUCAGUCUCUUCCGACCGAGAUUGACAAAUCAAUGGUCUUGCUUCGUAAAUUCGUGUUCGUAUUUCAUUUUAUUAGCAUUAUGAUUCUUCAACAUGGUUUAUUAGAUAUAUCUUUAGUAUUUGUUCAGUACAGCAAAACAUCACACAAUCUACUCAUGACUUGAAAAUAAUAUCCUCGUUUUUACAGGUAGAUGAUCACAUCAUGGGGGAGCGUCCAAUGCUCCAUCAUAUCCGACAUAUUUUCUUGCCCGAUUUCAUUAUUAUUUUUUAUCUUUAUUGCAUCCUCGAACAAAAAUAGGGGGAGAAUAAUGGGCAUCCACGUUUGAAAUUUUUAUUUGAGUUUGGAUUUUAGAGACAUUUGAAGAUGCAGAUUUAUCUAGUAAUGCGAUUUGGCACUGAUUUUUGGGUUUUAGAGAUCAAAUUUUUAGGCAUUACUAGAUGUUCUUUGGAUCAUGAUUAUUUAUAUCCAGACUCUAUUUUUUGGGAUGUCUCAUUUGUGUUAGCAUCCAAAUCAGGUUUUAUGAUUGUUCGAGUUUGGAUUUUCGAUAUUUUGAAGGCGGAGAUUAUUUUGGAGAUGCGACGCGACACUGAAUUGAUCAUUUUUUUAUCAGAAUUUUUGCAUUGCAAGACAUUUCUUCGGAUCCAUAUUAUUUAUUAUUCAUACUUUACUUAAGGAUGCUUUACACUUUCAACAAGUAUUUUUCAGAGAUUUUUGGUUCCUUAUGAUUUGGGAUCGGAAUUUGAGGCCUUUGUGUGAUUCGAUAUUGAGAUCUUUAGUUCAACAAUCAUAUGGCAGAUUGUGAACCUGAUCGGUUUUUGGGACUGGUCUAAUUUGAAGAUUGGGAUUUCAUAUUUGUGUUGAGAGUUGGUUCCUCUAAAUGUUCUUUGAUGUUAAAGAUUCCAUUGUCAGAUUCAGAGUUCGUAGUUGCUUCAUAAUUUUUGAGAUAUAUUAGCACCAGACCUGCCCGUCAGUUGUUCUUCCUUUUAUCAUUGAUUUUUACCCUCAUCAUUUUUGAGAAUUUAAGGGGAGAUUAUUGGAACAGGAAACACCUACAAUCAUGAGUGAUUUAUUAGGUUGGAAUAGUCUAUUGUAUGAAAUGCAUAUUCCAUCCACUACUAUAUAAAGUGGUGGUAUGUGGUCAUUUGAGGUGUGCACCAUGUAGACAUUAGAUUAGAGAGAGUAUUGCUGGAAUAUUCUUCCUAUCCAUGAGUGUUCUUAAUUGUAAUAUUUGAUAUCUCUCUAUCUAUACAUUGUUAGUUUACUUAAUUGUUUAUCAUGUUCUUACAAUUAUCUUCAUGAUUAUUAUUAUUAUGCAACAAAGCAAUCAUUAAACUGGUACAACAAUAUUUCUUUCCUUCUCCUAUUUUUCUGUCAAAGGCUUCAUGAAAUAAAUUUUAAUGUUACCAUUCUCUUCGUAUUGGAUACAUUUCCGGAGCACUCCCCAUACAUUAUUCAUUCAAAUAUCUUCUUCAAAGAUUAAAUAAUGAAUGCCUUCAAUAGUAAGAUCCAUAGUUCGAAAUGACUUUCUAACAACUGUUGUUGUUUCUGACCAACUCUCAAGAAGCAAAGAUAAUUACAGUAGUGCCCAAACUUCGUCUUUGAACCAUAUGUCAAAAAUUGCAAUCUUUAUAUUAUUAAGUUGAAUUUAUUCACAUGGUAUGUAAUAGGGCCAGAUUCCUUCAUCUUCGUAUUCAACAUACGUCUAUGAAAGAUCUUUAUGCUCAAGAAAUAUUAUAGGAUGAUAUUUGAUAGAUAAUAUAUGAUCCUAAAGGGUCACACUAGCAACAACUUGAGGUUAAUAUAUAUAUAUAUAUANUGAUGAAUAUUUAUGUUUCUUGUAUUUAAUUGGAAAAAUUGUUAUUAAUGGAAAUAAUAUUUUUUAAGAGAGAAAAACAACUAAUAACUCACAUAGUAUGAAUUAUAUGUUGCAUACAUCUUUUUGGACUUAUAGUAGGUUAUUUAUAUAGAUAUAGCUUAUAUAACAAUAUGAUGUAUAUUCUAGUUUAUGAAAAUGGAUUAUGAUUCACACCCCCUAUCACAUCCCUCCUCAUUGCCAUGAAUGAGCUUGGACGGGUGAAUUUGGAGUGUUGGGUUUUCUUAUUACAAGCCAUACAUGUCAUAUGAUAUCAUACCUUCUUUGAAUACUAGCAUUGACUUUGGUAUAUAAUUGUAUGUAUAAAAGGAGACUAAAGGAUUUCAAAAGAGUUUGAUCUUUCUUCUUCUUUUCUUCUAAAAAGUCAUGCCUUUUUCUCUCUAUCCCCUUUCCUCAUUGUUUCAGUAAGUUAUGUAAAUUGAGUGUUUAUUAGUUGCUUCUCCUUAAGAAUUAUUUGGUAUAUGUCUUUAAGGAUUAAGAACAACUAAAUAUACAAGAUGGACUAGCAUCCAUGUCAAGUUCAAGAAUUGUUGGUGUUUCUAACUAAUGUGGAGUUCUACCUUUACAUUCUUCAUCAACUUACAACCUCCUAAGAGGAUCAAAGUCUUCAAACGUUGUCGCUUUUUUCCUAUGGCUGUGUUUUAAUCUUUCCAUGCUUUGCAAAAUGAUCUUUCAUGGGUUAAAAUGGUUUUAAGUUUAUUUAAAUCUUAAAAUGUUUCUAUUGCUAAUCUCCUAGUUUUGACACUAUAAUUAGACUAUUUUUUAUAAAUAAAACCCAACAAUUGGUAUCAAAUCCAUUUUUGCAAGCUUGGUUAGAUUAUUAGAUUAUUUGGUAUAACCUUUAUUUUUGGAAAACAUGGAUUGUUUUCUUUUUAUAAGAAAAUUCCAUAAACACUUUUUGUUACAACUUUAUAAUUGUUAUUUUAUAUGGCAAAAGUUCUAACAUCCAUAAAAUUUUGAAAAUUUUAAAACUUUUAAAUAACUCCAAAAACCAUCAUUCAUUACAAAUUUCUUUCAAAAUAGUUCAACAUUGGGGAAAUCCGAGAAAUCUUAAAACAAUUACAAGGAGGUGCACGAUCACGCCUUCGCCUUCCUGCGAUCCUGAAAUGUACUUGAAACAUAAUCUAAAACUGUAAGCCCGAAGCUUAGUGAGUUUCCCCCAAAAUACCAAUCAUAAUACCAAAACUAGAAUAAUGUCACAAAAAUCAUGCACUCAGAGCCUUCAGCCUGACUGGAACGCCCCCACCGGCCUACAGUCUAUCUGGUACGCUUAUAGAACCUACAUCAUGACUGGUAUGCUACCUUGAGCCUUCAACCUAUUUGGAACGUUCUAUGGGCCUUCGACUUGACUGGUAUGCCCCACUGGCCUUCAGUCUAUCCGGGAUGCCCUGGGUCUGUUGGCCUUCAGCACAAAGCAGGUCCGCCUCAACCAAUCACAUAACCUAUCGACAUAUAAAUAACAAUUAAACAUAUAACCAGAAAAUCAUGCAAACAGACAUAUCUUAUAGAUCACUAAGUAUAUCAUUAUUCUAUUAUCAGGAUACAUAUCUAACAGGUCACUAUAAUACUCACACAUGCAAUAAUCAGGAUAACAAUCCAAAAGGGUCGACCUUGGUGCCUUCGACCCAACAAGUAUAGUGAGGAACACUCACCUCACAAGUAGCUGAACUGAUAAGAUCUAACUCCGGAUCCCAACUCCCGAAUCAAAGCCUAAAAGCAACAUGACCAACCCAUCAAAACCUUAAAUCCCCAAAAUGCUUUUAAAUCCCCAAAACGAGUUGGUUAACCAUGGUCAAAGUCGAGGUCAACAAUCCAUGUUGACCCAACUCGUCGAGUGCACCUACUAACUCGUCGAGUUCCUUUAGUACUUAGAGAAAUAGGGAAAACUUGAGCCAACUCGCCGAGUUAUCAGGACAACUCAUCGAGUUCCUACAGUAUCCAAAAUAGCAGGAAAACUGAAGCCAACUCGCCGAGUUGUCAGAACAACUCGUCGAGUUUUCCCAACUUAACUCAUACAGUCCUUUUUUGUCCCUUCCAACGCCCAAGAAUGCAGAUCUAGAACCCAAGAGCUGGAACGCCAUGUAAAGUUGCUAACUUUACGUCCAUGCAUGACACAAGGAGGCUAAAACACUCAAAGAAGGCCUAACGAGGGUCUAAAGCAUAAAGGGGGCCCUAUAACAUGAUAAAGCUUGAAGCUUUAAGCCCAAAGAGGCCACAAGGCAUCUAGAUCUGAAGUGACAACUUCAAUAAAUGGCCAAACCCAAGAAUGACUCCAGUAUGAGCCAAAAAUGACAAUAAACUUCCAAAGGGGAAGAUCUAUGCAAUAAAUGAUCAAGGUAUCGACUUUUUACCUCAAAUUGGUUGCAGAUACAGAGAAGAUUUUGGAUCUACAACCUUCCUCUCAAUCAAACCUCUUCAAACUCCAAGCUCCUUCAAAAGAUCACCAAAAAUUCACUCUUUAAGCUCACACAUACAAAAAGGAGAGAAUGCACGAAUUAGGGUUUCAUAAUCAACCACCAUCUUGUCGAGUUGGUCCAAAAAGUAUGUGCGACCCAAGAGCUUCCAACACGUCUAGUUGAGGCCAUCAACUCGACGAGUUCCAAAGGGAAAUUUGUCUUUUAAGCCAUAAAUAUCAUACCUGGGAGUUGGGAUGUUACAACUCUCCCCCACUUGAUCUAGGCUUCGUCGUCGAAGCUUGUUGCGGUGAACACAUUCGGAUAAUGCUCCCAAUGAAUUAAUGGUGCAUUGAAAUUUUUUAGUCUGAAACUAGGAAUUGACGGAGAAACACUUCAUGUUUCACUAUGCCUCAUUAUAAUGUUCAAAAUCUUAUAAUUCAUUCUUUUGCGAGAUCUUAAUGAAACUGGUCUUUUUGUAAAUCGUUUAUUCCAAAUGGAUCCAUAUUUUAUUUUCUGAGUUAUGAGAUUUAUGGCUGAGCAUUUUCUAUCCUUUUGUCACUUCUAUCUUACUAAGUCAUUAAUUGAAUAGUUCAACCAAUCAUUCAAGGUUUCUCUCUCAUACCCCCAGUCGGCGGUGGAAACGCCAAGACUUGCAACAUUAGAAUAUUGGAUUACAAAUGUUGAACAUACAUUGCAAAAUACAAUGUAUAACAUAAUUAUUGAAUAUCUCAUUACCAGAAAUCGGGGUUACAUUAGUUCAAAUGCUUUGAACAUUAAGCUUACAUAGUACAACAUAUUACUAGUCUAUAUCCUUGCGUCUUGAUCUCCUGUAAUUGUAACAACGUAAAUUUUCAAAGUAAUUUCUCCAUUUCAAAAUAUAAUAAAAAUUCAUAUAUAAUAUCAAAAUCCGUGUAUCAACAUCAUCUCGAUAAAGAAAUCCCAAGAUCUUAAUGUAAAUAAAACUCCAUCCGUGUGUACGGUCAUGCCGGCGCCUUCCCGCGAUCCUCACUGGUACCUGAAACACAUAACACACAACACGGUAAGCAUAAAUGCUUAGUGAGUUCCCCAAAAUACCACACACAACACAUACGCCACUCAAGGAUACCGUAUGACCCUCCGGUCGAUGUGUCUCAGCGUGACCCUCCAGUCCUGUAGCUCGUUGGACCCUCUGGUCCGGUCAUAGCUCGUUGGACCCUUCGGUCCGAUUUGUAUCGUUGGACCCUUCGGUCCGGUCUAUAUCGUUGGACCCUCCGGUCCGGUCUAUAUAACACAUAGCAUACAUAUAUCACAAUGCACAUAAUCUCAUACAUACACAUAGCACACAAGACCCUCCGGUCUACACAUAGAUACCACUCUAGGUAAUGUAUAGUGAGAAGACUCAACUCGAGUAACUCGGAUAAUCUCGCACACGAAUAUGCUGAUCUAGCCCCCGCAUAAUCACAUAUCAAUAUCCUCAAAUAAAUAAUGGCUCUCAAAGGCUAGAUUAAAUCCCUUCCUAUAAUCCCACAGAAGGGUAAAAGACCAUUUUACCCCUCCUUGACCCAAAAGUCCAAAUGUUGACUAAAACCCUAAAAGUCAACGAAAGUCAACAGGGGCAGUACGCGGGGCGUACCAACUCGUGUACGCGGGGUGUAAUCCGGCUAACCAAAAUCGGGGGAUAAGACCCAUUACGCGACGCGUAAUGGGAUUAUGCCCAACGUAAGUCCCAGUUACCCAUUCUCAAAAGUUUUGGUCUGAAUCGAUUAAGACAAUGGUUCAUAUCAUAGAUCUAGGCACUCUACUGCCUCCUAAACCAUAAAGUCGAAACCUUUAGGCCUUUGCAUGGCUAAAAAGGUUACAACUUCUUCCAAACUCUUAUCCCCUUUCCCCAUUAAGACCAAAACCCAUGCAUGACUCCAUCAUGACGACCAAGAUUGGAUUUUUAUGAACCUACAACUCAUAUUACUCUGAAAUAUGGCAGAUCUAAGCUUAUGGAGACCAUUUGCUCAUAAAGUCUCCACCUUGGGACCAAAAACCCUAAAAAUUGGUCCAUGAAGCACAAAACAAAAAUGACAAGGAAAGCUUUGAGCUUUUUACCUCCAAGUGAAGCUCUUCCCUCUGUAGAACUCAAAUCCAGGCUUGUACUCCAACUUCUAGCCUCCACAAGAACCUCCUCUUCUUCUUCACUAACACACAAAGGCACUUUCUAGCUCAAGAACACUCACACACUAGCUUUAGAAUGAUAAUAUUGCUCUCCUAGGGUUUUUCUCUGUGGAAUGGUGGUUGGGGACAAGACCAUAUCAUUGCUUUUAUAGUCCACAAGCCACAAUUAGGGUUUGCAUCUUGGCCCGCUACGCCCAGCGUACCUAGGCAAGUCUCGUCCAAACUAAGAGCAUGAGUACAUGCAGCGUACUCUUCAGUACGCCCAAUGUACUCAAUGGCCAUAUUUUUCCUUUAGGCGCUAAACUUGACAACUUGGAAAGGAAGAAGGGUUAAAUAAAUAUACCUGAAUUCCGGGAUGUUACAAUUCUCUUCCACUAGAACCAGACUUUUACCUCAAAGUCUCAUGCCGUAAACAACCUCGGAUGCUGGUCCCGCAUCUCUGACUCCGACCCCAAGUCAGCUCGGACCCUCUCCGAUGUUGCCACUGGACCUGAACCAGGGGCACCUCCUUGUUCCUCAGAACCAUGAUCAUUCGAUCCACAAUCGUGAUUGGCCUCUCAACAUAAUUCAUCGUCGCAUCCACCUGAAUGUCCUCCAGUGGUACAACUGUCGUCUCGUCGGCAAUACACUUCCUCAACUGAGACACGUAGAAGGUAUCAUGUAUCUGACUCAACACUGCAGGUAGCUCCAAACGAUAUGCUACCCUGCCCACCCUAGCGGUCACCAUGAAAGGACCAAUGUACCGGGGUCCCAGCUUGCCCCUUUUCUAGAAUCAGAUCACUCCCUCCAAGGAGAUACCUUCAGGAGUACGAAGUCUCCCACCUGGAACUCGAGCUCGGACCGUCGCCUAUCUAGAUAAAUCUUCUGACGACUUUGAGUUGUUAACAACCUCUGUCUGACCUGCUGUAUCUGCUCUGUCGUCUGAAGCACUAUCUCAGUGUUGCCCAUCACUCGUUGCCCUACCUCCCCUAGUAGAUGGGAGUCCGAUACCUCCUCCCAUACAACAACUCGAAGGGAGGCAUACGGAUACUCGAAUGGUGGCUGUUGUUAUAGGAAAACUUAGCCAACGGUAAAUACGUGUCCCAACUUCCUCCAAAGUCCAACACACAUGCUCAAAGCAUGUCCUCGAGCGUCAAAAUUGUCCGCUCACUCUGUCCGUCCGUCUGUGGGUGGUAAGAGGUACUGAAAUGCAGCCUCGUGCCCAACUCCUCAUGGAACUUCUUCGAAAACCUGGAAGUGAAACGUACAUCUCGAUCUGACACAAUCGAUAUCGGUACUCCAUGCCACGAUAUCACCUCCCUCACAUACAACUCUUCCAGUCUCUCUUUUGAAAAGCUCUCACUAAUAGCAAGGAAGGGAGCGCUCUUCGUCAGUCGGUAGAUGAUCACCCAAAUUGCAUCGACACCCCUCGCGGUACUUGGCAAUUUGGUGAUAAAGUCCAUAGAAAUUUGUUCCCACUUCCACUGGGGAACCUCAAGUGGCUGCAACUUGCCAUGAGGACGCUGGUGCUCGGCCUUAUCCCUGAGAUAGGUCAAGCACCUCUUAACGAACCACGCAACAUCCCUCUUCAUACAUGGCCACCAAUAGUCUCUUUCAGGUCCAAAUACAUCUUAGUGGCCCCGGGAUGGAUCAAGAAUCUCGACUUGUGCGCCUCCUCCAUCAGAAUGGUACGUGCCCCGCCCGCAAACGACACCCAAAUCCGACCCUAAAAGGUCAUAAGCCCUCGGCUAUCGGUAACGAACUCAGAUACCUGCCCGAUCACCCGCUCUCUCUUGCUGUUCUCCGGUCUCACGGCCUCUGCCUGGGCCUCCCGAAUGGUGUCCAACACCGGAGUCAUCACCGUCAUCCUCAUACAAACGCCUCAUAUCGGGGUAAUCUCCGCCCUACGGCUCAGGGCAUCGGCUACAACGUUAGCCUUUCCCGGGUGGUACAGGAUCUCACAAUCAUAAUCCUUUACCACAUCCAACCAUCUCCUUUGGCUCAUAUUCAGGUUGGGCUGAUCCAUCAAAUACUUCAAGCUCUUGUGGUCCGUGUAUAUGGUACACUGAACCCCGUACAAAUAGUGACGCCAGAUCUUGAGGGCGAACACCACUCCCCCACAACUACAGAUCGUGGGUGGGAUACCUCGUCUCAUGAGGCUUCAGCUGCCUUGAUGCGUAUGCUAUCACGUGCCCUCUCUACAUCAGCACCGCACCUAACCCCGAUAUCGAUGCGUCAGAAUACACCAAAAAAUCCUCCAUCCCCUCCGGAAGGGAUAACACCAGGGCUUCGCAUAACCUCUAGCAAAGUGUCUCGAAUGAGGCCAGCUGCUCAGGACCCCAACUAAAAGCCACGCCCUUCCGGGUGAACCUGGUGAGAGGAACGACAAUCUUGGAGAAGUCCCUGAUAAAUCUCCGAUAAUAGCCAGCCAACCCCAAAAAACUCUUGAUCUCGGUGGGGGAUCUUGGCACCUCCCAAAUCAUCACAACCUCAAUCUUGGC
rnacentral:lncRNA from 1 species